rnacentral:lncRNA from 1 species
GUUUUGUUUUUGUUUUUUUGCAGUACCUGGGAUCGAACUCAGGACCUUGCACUUGGGAGGCAGGCAUGGUGCCACUGAGCUACAUCCCCAGCCCAGGUUUCUGCCCUUUACGUUAUCAACCAAGCUCAACUUUAAAUAUCUCUAAGAGAUUUUUGAUGUGAUGAGUCUGGAAGAAAAAACAAACCAGCCUAAGAAGCUUAAAGAAUCCUAUGAAGGGCAGAUAUGGAUAACAUUGGGUAUAGAGGAUAUUGCCCCUGCACAGGAAAAGCUGACUAAUACAAAGUAACACUGAGUUCCAUCCAAAAAAAGGGCAGCCAAGCAUGGGAACUAUGACUACAGGUUACCUACCCUUCUCACACUUUAUUUUGACAGGGUCUCACCGUAUAUUUGAGGCUGGCUUUGAACUCAUGAUGUAGCUCAGGCUGGACUCGAACUCGAAAUGAUCCUCCUGCCUCAGUUUCCCGUGUGCUCGGAUUACAGGACUUUGCAGCUCUUUGGCCCUAGUACAGAAGAUCAUCAGAGGCAC